UACGGAGGGGGCUAGCGUUGUUCGGAAUUACUGGGCGUAAAGCGCACGUAGGCGGCUUUGUAAGGUAGAGGUGAAAGCCCAGGGCUUAACCCUGGAAUUGCCUUUAAGACUGCAUCGCUAGAAUCGUGGAGAGGUGAGUGGAAUUCCGAGUGUAGAGGUGAAAUUCGUAGAUAUUCGCAAGAACACCAGUGGCGAAGGCGGCUCACUGGCCCGAUACUGACGCUGAGGCACGAAAGCGUGGGGAGCAAACAGG
rnacentral:rRNA from 1 species